rnacentral:rRNA from 1 species
CGGAGACGGAUGGGCAUGCGGCGCAUUAGCUGGUUGGCGGGGUAACGGCCCACCAAGGCGACGAUGCGUAGGGGUUCUGAGAGGAAGGUCCCCCACACUGGUACUGAGACACGGACCAGACUCCUACGGGAGGCAGCAGUGAGGAAUAUUGGUCAAUGGGCGAGAGCCUGAACCAGCCAAGUCGCGUGAGGGAGUACUGCCCUAUGGGUUGUAAACCUCUUUUGUCGGGGAGCAAAAGCCGGACGUGUCCGGCUGUGAGAGUACCCGAAGAAAAAGCAUCGGCUAACUCCGUGCCAGCAGCCGCGGUAAUACGGAGGAUGCGAGCGUUAUCCGGAUUUAUUGGGUUUAAAGGGUGCGCAGGCGGAUUUUUAAGUCAGCGGUCAAAUCGUGGGGCUCAACCCCAUCCAGCCGUUGAAACUGGGGAUCUAGAGUGUGCGAGAGGUAUGCGGAAUGCGUGGUGUAGCGGUGAAAUGCAUAGAUAUCACGCAGAACCCCGAUUGCGAAGGCAGCAUACCGGUGCACAACUGACGCUCAGGCACGAAAGCGUGGGUAUCG